rnacentral:rRNA from 1 species
AUUGAACGCUGGCGGCAGGCUUAACGCAUGCAAGUCGAGCGGGGGAAGGUAGCUUGCUACCGGACCUAGCGGCGGACGGGUGAGUAAUGCUUAGGAAUCUGCCUAUUAGUGGGGGACAACAUCUCGAAAGGGAUGCUAAUACCGCAUACGUCCUACGGGAGAAAGCAGGGGAUCUUCGGACCUUGCGCUAAUAGAUGAGCCUAAGUCGGAUUAGCUAGUUGGUGGGGUAAAGGCCUACCAAGGCGACGAUCUGUGGCGGGUCUGAGAGGAUGAUCCGCCACACUGGGACUGAGACACGGCCCAGACUCCUACGGGAGGCAGCAGUGGGGAAUAUUGGACAAUGGGGGGAACCCUGAUCCAGCCAUGCCGCGUGUGUGAAGAAGGCCUUAUGGUUGUAAAGCACUUUAAGCGAGGAGGAGGCUACUCUAGUUAAUACCUAGGGAUAGUGGACGUUACUCGCAGAAUAAGCACCGGCUAACUCUGUGCCAGCAGCCGCGGUAA